AAAGUGAGUCUUCCCAUAAAUAUACUGAUGCUGCCUACCAUUCCCAGAGAUUUGGGUUUGAUUAAGUUGCAGUCUGCACAGCUAUCAGGUGUUUCUGCUGGGCAAACAGGGCUAAGAACUAUAUUACCUUACUCUGCUAGAACAAGCCUUACUUCCUUCUCCUUGAUUCUUCCAACAUUGGAUGGAAAUCCCAUGAAGGACUUCAGAGGAAUCUGUGCUGGGGGAAAAAUUCAACUACAAAACAUUCAUUGCCACAGAUCACAGCUGCUCACAAGGACUCCCACUGCCAACCUCCUUCCACCCAUAGGAUGUCCUUCAAACAUUCCAUCUGCAUGACACUGCUGGGACAGUGCCAAUCAAGAGUGUAAAGAGGUGCCCAGAAAUAUUGGAGACAUGACAGAAAAGCACUCUGAAAGCAGGGGUUCCCAAACAACCCCCCCCCAGGAGCCUGUGUAGAGGCAUAGACACCAAACCAGAGAAAAACAAAUGAGAGAGAAGGUCAUUUGUUCCAAUCUGGUUAAACAUCCCAUAGGACAAUGCCACACUGUCAGGCUGCUCCCCAUUGCAGCCUUUCCUGGCAGAUAACACUGGUAUGCUCGUGGCUUGGAGAAGUCCCAGUAGCAACAGAGAAGACCCACCUUGGUUGGUUAGAAUAUUUGUUGAGCUCAGUCUUGCAAAACCCAUCAGAGUCAGGUAAGAUGUACUUGUCAAAGUUUUUAUUUUAUGUAUUUAUUUUUCUCCCCACAGUCAGGAUUGUGUCAGCAUUGGUGUAAGCCUAGUAGCAACUCUUGUGGUUUGGGCCUAGAAAUUCUUACUAGAAAUCUUACCCAUCUUCUCCUAGCAGAAAAAUGCCGUAACUCAUAACAGAGUAAUGGUAUAAUUAAAACCAGAAUCCUUGCAAACAUAUGAGUAUUCCUGGAUGUUAUCGGAAAAAAAUUGAAGCCAAAAUAAACAAGCAGAUUUGUGG